GAUGUUGGUUAGUCCGCAACGAGCGCAACCCCUAUUGUUAGUUGCCAUCAUUCAGUUGGGCGACUCUAGCGAGACUGCCGGUAAUAAACCGGAGGAAGGUGGGGAUGACGUCAAAUCAUCAUGCCCCUUAUGACCUGGGCUACACACGUGCUACAAUGGUUGGUACAACGAGUUGCGAGUCGGUGACGGCGAGCUAAUCUCUUAAAGCCAAUCUCAGUUCGGAUUGUAGGCUGCAACUCGCCUACAUGAAGUCGGAAUCGCUAGUAAUCGCGGAUCAGCACGCCGCGGUGAAUACGUUCCCGGGCCUU
rnacentral:rRNA from 1 species